AUUGUUGGUAACAGCACUGACCCGGCCCUGACUAGGUGGAAAGGCUGGGUCCUCACAGUGAGGCUUAGGGAUGUGGUACCCACAACAGGCAGGGACUGAGGGAAGAUCCUUCUCAUCCCCUCAGAGUGGAGGAGGAGGCAUAGUCUGUGCCCUGGGUGGCCCAGGCAGCUGGAGGAAGCCCCCAUCUCCAGCCCACCCCAGCUGGCUUUGUUGGAGAGGCAGCACAUCCACAGGUGAUCCAAAAGAUGAAGCUUCCUGGCCACUGUUGUUGUGGGGACCAUUACAGAGUCACAGAUGUUGUGCGGAUUCUGGAAGUGCCCAAGCUGAGGGGGGGUGCACUGCGGGUGCGAACGUGGCGGAUCCUCAAGGCUGGGGGAUCUCACUGCAUAGCCCUGGCUGGCCUGAAAUUCCAUAGGCAGACCAGGCUGGCUUCGAACUCACAGAGAGACACCCCCAGCCAGACCCCAGCUGACGCUGAGAUUAAAGAAUAUACUACUCAA